rnacentral:rRNA from 1 species
AUUGAACGCUGGCGGCAUGCCUUACACAUGCAAGUCGAACGGUAACAGGUCUUCGGAUGCUGACGAGUGGCGAACGGGUGAGUAAUACAUCGGAACGUGCCCGAUCGUGGGGGAUAACGAAGCGAAAGCUUUGCUAAUACCGCAUAAGAUCUACGGAUGAAAGCAGGGGACCGCAAGGCCUUGCGCGAACGGAGCGGCCGAUGGCAGAUUAGGUAGUUGGUGGGAUAAAAGCUUACCAAGCCGACGAUCUGUAGCUGGUCUGAGAGGACGACCAGCCAACCUGGGACGGAGACACGGCCCAGACUCCUACGGGAGGAAGCAGUGGGGAAUUUUGGACAAUGGGCGAAAGCCUGAUCCAGCCAUGCCGCGUGCAGGAUGAAGGCCUUCGGGUUGUAAACUGCUUUUGUACGGAACGAAAAGACUCUUUCUAAUAAAGAGGGUCCAUGACGGUACCGUAAGAAUAAGCACCGGCUAACUACGUGCCAGCCGCCGCCGUAACAC